GCAGCAGUGAGGAAUAUUGGUCAAUGGACGCAAGUCUGAACCAGCCACGUCGCGUGAAGGAAGACGGCCCCUAUGGGUUGUAAACUUCUUUUAUAAGAGAGUAAAAAGGCCUACGUGUAGGUCAUUGCAAGUAUCUUAUGAAUAAGGAUCGGCUAACUCCGUGCCAGCAGCCGCGGUAAUACGGAGGAUCCGAGCGUUAUCCGGAUUUAUUGGGUUUAAAGGGUGCACAGGCGGGGGAAUAAGUCGGUGGUGAAAACUUGCAGCUCAACUGUAAGCUUGCCAUCGAAACUGUUUUUCUUGAGUAUGGAUAAGGUAGGCGGAAUUUGUGGUGUAGCGGUGAAAUGCAUAGAUAUCACGAGGAACUCCGAUUGCGCAGGCAGCUUACUGGGCCAUAACUGACGCUCAAGCACGAAGGCGUGGGUAUCGAACAGGAUUAGAUACCCUGGUAGUCCACGCAGUAAACGAUGAUUACUCGCUGUUUGCGAUAUACGGUAAGCGGCCAAGCGAAAGCGUUAAGUAAUCCACCUGGGGAGUACGUUCGCAAGAAUGAAACUCAAAUGAAUUGACGG
rnacentral:rRNA from 1 species